rnacentral:tRNA from 1 species
GCAGUUGUGGCCUACUGGUUAAGGCUUUGGGCUUGGAAUCGAGGGGUUGCCGGUUCGAUCACCGACCAGUGGGA